rnacentral:rRNA from 1 species
UUUAAUUAGGUGCAACUGCAUCACUAUGAGAUGGACCUGCGUUGUAUUAGCUAGUUGGUGAGGUAACGGCUCACCAAGGCGACGAUACAUAGCCGACCUGAGAGGGUGAACGGCCACACUGGGACUGAGACACGCCCCUGACUCCUACGGGAGGCAGCAGUAGGGAAUCUUCGCCAUUGGUCGAAGUCUGACCGAGCAACGCCGCGUGAGUGAAGAAGGUUUUCGGAUCGUAAAGCUCUUUGUAGAGA